GCGCACUGUUCGUAACCUGUUUCAGGACCACAGUCUGAAAUUUGGGUUCCAUUCCAGUGCUAAAGAAACGCUCAGUGAGGCAGGGGAGUACCGCUGGUCCGUGCACAACUCCCUGUUCACUCUCUGUCGACACGC